GUCUGAUCUCUUUUCUAACCACACCUGGAAGAUGGGAUGCUGGACCCAGGAGGAAAGGCCAUGUAAAGACAGAGAAAAGGCUGCCCUCUGCAGGCCAGGAAGAGAGGCCUCACCAGAAACCAACUUGGACUUCUAGCAUCUAGAACUUGAGAAACUGGAAUGCUACUCCAGAAGAAGACGAAUCAGUGCCUCUGUACAAAGGGAUCUUUGUGUUGCCAAAAGAGUAGAAAAGUUUAUCCCAGAACCAAAAUAUUUCAGAAUUGUGGAAAAUCAAGUUUUGGACACCUACUCAAAAGAGAAGAAAUAUUGCUAUCACAGAAUCCCUGAAUUAGUAUACACCUAGCUGCUAUAACAAAGACGCUCAAAAACAUAAAUGACACUGUAAAAGAAGUUUAUUUCUUGUUCACAUAACUGUCCAAGGCUGGUGUUCCUGGGAAACAUCCAGUUCUCUUCCAUGCAAUGAUUCAAGGACACAGAGUUCUUCCAUCCUGUGACUCUACCAUCCCCUA
rnacentral:sRNA from 1 species